GAACAACUGGUUUCUACUGGUUUCGUGCAGGCUGUACUUGGGUCUUCUUGUGAUCCUUGCAAUCAAGCAAUCUUCAGGUGUCCAAGGACAGGAAAAGACAAGAUCUCCCACAGUCUAAUUUUCCAGCCUAAACAAAGAAAGAAGACAUUUCUGAGGAAGUUCUCUUCGUGUCCAAAGACCGAAAAUGUAGCAAGGACUUCUUUAUGUGAGAUGACUUCAUUUAUACUUGUGUGGGCUAUAAAUGAGCUUUCCAAUUGCGUGAAGAAAAAAUCCAGAAACACAAAGUGGAAACCUGGAAAGCUUAGAAGAAAAGGCAAACGCUUUUCCCACAGCCUAACUACACUGAGUCCUGUCUCUCCCUAUUCCACAAUCUCCAGCUUUAUGCCAGUAUAAAUCCAAUGAAUUCUGUGGCACUAUUUGUCUGUGGAUCUUUCCAACAAUGUCACAAAGUGCUGAACCAAGCUCAGAAUUUAAAACAAAUAAAAUGGAAGCUCCCAUGUUUAAGCAAGAAUAAAGGGGCAUAGGUCCUUUGUAAAAUACGCAGCGUUUUUAUUGUCAUGUGGAUUUGAAUGGAUGAUCUGACGGGAAACUACAGCUUACAGUUCUGAGGAUUCUCCUCUGGUUUUUGGCAUCUUCCAUUUCCAGGUGGGAAAUGAGCUUGUUUCUUUUUAAGUAUAAAAGAAAAGAAAACAAAACAAAACAAAAACCCAACAAAUUCAUACUCUAGCUAAAAACAAAUUCUGCAAAUACUAUUAACUCAGCCAUAUGGUAAAGUAAACAAUCGCUUGAUAGUAAAGCAGGUGAAGUAUCAAAGAAGCUCUGUUUUAAUAGUAUUUAUUUGCAAUCAUUAGUUUUAAGUGGGAAACUGUUUACAGGCACACACUAGAUAACCAAAAUAGAAUGAACAUAAAGAGAUCUAUUUGAAGGUCCUUUUCAAAUAUUUCAAAUAUUUUAUUAAAUAUUUUAUUCAGUUUCUUGAUCACAGUUUAAUGUAUUUUAGCAUGUUAUACACAUGACUUAACAUGUGCACUUAAAAAUAUCAAAUUAGAUAGAGGUUUUGAAGAAAGCAUGACAUUUUAUAAAUGUGCUUAUUGACUUUUAACUACACACAUCUAAGAAGGCAGUAGCUCCGUUAUACCACUUAUGGAGAUAAACUAUUAUAAGGCAUGUUUACACCAAGCUUUGGAAAGAAUAAAGCCAAAUACUGGGUCAAAAUUUAGUGGAAUUAUGUAUGAGAGUAAAAGUUGAAGGAUUGGGCCCUAGGAAGAGAGAUCAGAGCAAAUCAGUUGUGUUAGAGCUGUGAACACAGACUGGUGAUGGAAAGCAAGCACUGCUGAGGAAGAAGGUUUUCACAGCGUCUGAACUUUCUUCAGACAUUUCUGAAAUCACACCUUAUGGCGUAAUGUGAAAGGAAGAGAAUGAAAUCUACCAAGAAAGUUUGAAAACUGUUGUCUGAGAAACCUCGUGUUGUUUUAUGAACUGAGGUGGGAAUGCAUUUAUAGAGGUAACGUCUUGCAAGUCCUUGCACACUAAUGUGUGUGUGUGUGCACGUGCAUACACAUACACGGACACACAUCUCUCUCUCUCUUUUGUCACCUCCAAACCACGGAUCAAAGUGUUGCAGUGCAUGGGAGAAAAUAAAGUUUCAGUUGUAUGGGUUAGAAGAUCAGAUUAGACCACUACAUUCAGAAGCCCAGUUAGUUAGCCUGUACAUUGUGUCAGCAGAUGUAUUUUUUCCAGUAGAGUACAGUGUGGGUCUGCUGGCAUACCGUAACAGUCAGGACCCAGAAAUGACAAUAUAAUUCUUUGGAAGAACUCAACAAGUGUUCCGCUAUUGCAUGUGCUUUAAAACUCCGUGCCAGUGAAGACCCUAGGUCAAAAUAUCACGCCUCAGCCAGAAACACCACGCAAGCCCAAGCUCAACUCUGAGAGCACAGUGGUCCAUAAUCGGGGCUCCUGCACUGCCACAGUGCAAACAACAACGCUACCCCUCAAGUAAGGAUGGUUUUAAGCGUAAGCUUAGGUGUGUUGCUGAGUGGAGAUCUCAAGUCAGCUCUUCCUAGGUGUCUGUCUUAGAAGAAUCAGUGGGAGAACAUAAAAUAUACAUCCAUUUGAUAAGCUUCUUCAAAGUUGUCCAUUCAGUAGAAAAUACUGAGUAUAUAAGUGAUUAUAAUAGUAGUUAGGUGAGAGAAUAAACCUCACUGCGCCUUUUAAUUGGGAAAUACAGGGGAGGAGGCAAAAAA